rnacentral:rRNA from 1 species
UACGGAGGAUGCGAGCGUUAUCCGGAUUUAUUGGGUUUAAAGGGUGCGUAGGCGGGAUGCCAAGUCAGCGGUAAAAAUGCGGUGCUCAACGCCGUCGAGCCGUUGAAACUGGCGUUCUUGAGUGGGCGAGAAGUAUGCGGAAUGCGUGGUGUAGCGGUGAAAUGCAUAGAUAUCACGCAGAACUCCGAUUGCGAAGGCAGCAUACCGGCGCCCUACUGACGCUGAGGCACGAAAGCGUGGGUACCGAACAGG